rnacentral:sRNA from 1 species
UUCAUUCUGCGUUUUGAGAGGAUGAGAACCGACGGAGGUUCGAGCCGAGCGCAGCGAGACAACGUUGCUUUAGCAACGGCCCGAAGGGCGAGCAUGAAAUGCGAGUAAUCCUCUCUCGCCGACCA